AAAUGCCAUGUUAUCAAGAUGAAUUUUGUUGUUAUCUACAUUUGGAAGAAUAUGCCAAAGGCGAUAUUAGGAAACUGCUUCGCAAUAACGUUACAGACCAACAUUGACCUAUGGUAAAGAGAAAGUCCGGUGCUGAACGAAUC